GGGGGCAUAGCUCAGUGGUUAGAGCACCCGCAUACGUAUCGGAAGGUCGGGGGUUCGACUCCUCUGCCUCCA
rnacentral:tRNA from 1 species